UGCAGGUGUUCGGGCUCUUACGGGGUUUGGUGCAUCGGGACCCGGCUAUGGAGUGGAUAGGGAGGCCCUUUGGUGCCAGCCGGUGGCGGCUGGGCUUCUGUGAGCGCUGUCUCCCCAUUGUGUCUGCUCCAGGAUGCUGCAGAGAUUUGGGGUAGACAGUGCUGAUUUGUCAGACAAAAGAAGAGCAGCUGGAACAUGCCAUGAGGUCGAUGUGGAGAUGGAGGGGUCUGUGUCCUGCUUGGAAGGGAGCUGAUGACGCACAGGCAGUUGUGACUUGGCACACAUGAGACAUAAGUGGUGCAAGGUCACUGCCCUUCCCCUGAUGAGGAAGUAAAGCCACAGCACGUGCUGGGGGCAGCUGCUGAGGACAUACCCAGGGGGAACACAAGCUGUGGGCUGACCCCUGAGAUCUGCUUGAUGUUUGGGUCUGUAUAGGAGCACUGGGGUGGCUCAGAGAUCCCCAAAAGACUGCUGCGGAGCCUACCCAGCUGAUGAGAUGCCUUCACAGCCAUGACGUUGGGUCAUGCUUGGUCUUCACUGCUCUUUCAACCCAGGUUAACAGAAGCUUUCUCUGUAUUUUAACGGCAGUGUAAGCAUGUGCAACAGGUUAGAACAAGGCAAGCAGCCACCAUUGCCUCUGUUUUCUUUCUUCCUGCACCCUCUUAAAUUUUGGUUUCUCAGAUGAUGUUUUCCAGACCUGGGUGUUCUCCCUCAUGAGCCAUGCUUCCUGGUGCCCUUUAUACCAUGAUGGUGUGCUUCAGUCCCUGCUGCCAUCUGUGGAGGAGGAGGUGGUACAAGUCAUCAGCUCUUUGCUGCAGUGUUAUAUUGCUUG